GAUGUAGACCCGUAGCCUCCGCUCCAGCUGAUGCAAAGAUGUCGGCUGUGACAGUGGACACGGCUGUGUCUCUCAGCACCCUGGUUCAUAUUCCCUUUGGCACCCCCAUCUGUGUCGCUGUCGGGGAGCGCAGUGUGCCCUGUGCAGCACGUAUGUGGGCUGGCUUAAAGGAGGAGCGAGCUUCGAGCAGUGAUUGGAAGGCCGUGAGGAAUGUGUUUGGGGAGAAGGAAGGCUUGGAGCAUGGAAGUGAUGUUCUGGUGUGGAGGUGGACGGACAAGGAAGCUAAAACCUUCUGGGCACGAGCCAGAUCGACACGUCUGCUUCGGCCGCUCUGCCCACUGCCUGGUAAGCGCACCUCAUAAUCGUUGGCAGGAAGCGAGUGAAUGAGUAAAACCACAGCUCGCGAGGCUUCUCCUCCAGUUUCGGGAUGUGACUGCAGGACCUUGUGAAGCUUAAGAUUCUAGCAGAGGUGCGGUGUUCGUCAUGGUCUUGACGGAAGAAGAGUAACGUUUAACUUGGGGAGGAAGGUCACCCCGUUUGCACAGAAGACCUCUCUCGGUACUUGUGGGGCUGAUGGUUGGCACAGCCAGAUAGGGCUUGAGUGGGGAUGCAGACAUUUUCAUGGGAAGGUUAGACACAUGGAGGACACCUGUCUCCCAGUGUGUUACCUCUGCCUUGUUCUCCAUCAGACCUUUUGGUGACUGAAAAUUUCCUGGGAAUAUUGGGAAUAUUUAUAUAUAAUAUACUUUGUUAUAUAUAAAUAUUGGGUAUGUAUUAUCUAUAAAUAUAUAUAAAUAUUGGGAAUAUUUAUAUAUAACAUACUUUGUUUAGUAGAAUUUUUCUCCUUUUCUAAAUAAACCUCAAGCAGAUUGUCAGCGUGCUAUGUUUAAUAAUAAAGGGUAGUAUUUUAUAUCUCAGACCUCUUCUUCC
rnacentral:lncRNA from 1 species